rnacentral:lncRNA from 1 species
UUUAUUUAAUACAAUCAAUAUUAUAAUAACUAGUUGGGUGAUCUCUCUUUUCUCUGGCCGCGCCUCACUCUUUUCACAUCCGGGGCUUCCACCGAUUUUCCGGUGGAAAACCCCAAAUCCUUCCGUUUAAUUGCUUGUUCUUUGGUUGUUCUAGUUUGUUUUAUUGAUUUUCUCAAUAAAACUCCCUUUUUGGGGAAAGUUAUCUUAGAUCUAUAUCACCGAAACUUUUGAUUUUCGUUCUUAUUCGCUUCUAGAGGGAUUUUUGGAUUUGUGAGUGGAUCGAUCAUCUUCUAGUGUAGGUUCGUGGUGCAAACCUAAUCAUUUUAGUUUGCAGUUGAAUUUUCUCUCGUGUGUUAUUUUGAUUUCUCUCCCUAGUGAAAGCGUGCGAUUUUUCUCUUCUUCUAUGAGAGUUGGUUUGGAUUUCGAUAAAAGCCUUCCGGGAAUUGCAUUUGUGGUUGAUAGCUCAAACGGAUUUUUGAAAAAGAUGGUGAACACAGAGCAAAGAUCUAUAAAUAGACCAUCGUCAAUUUCAACAUCUCUUAUUUGUCUCAUCUUGGUUAUGAAGACAGGCGUGUUAAUCUAUUCUAUGUUUUUUCGACUCGAUCAUUCUUGUAGUUGCCGUAUGACUGUUAUUUAUUGAAUCAUCUCUUUUUUUCCAAAAAAAAACUAGCUGGGUGAUCCAAUAUUAAUCGCAUACUUUAACAUCACUAUUAAUUAUAUUCAAGAAGUGGAAUUUGAAAAACAAUAUAAUACUCCC